AUACGGAGGAUCCGAGCGUUAUCCGGAUUUAUUGGGUUUAAAGGGUGCGCAGGCGGGAGAUUAAGUCGGCGGUGAAAUUUUGCAGCUCAACUGUAAAAGUGCCUUCGAAACUGGGUUUCUUGAGUGUAGAUGAAGUAGGCGGAAUUUGUGGUGUAGCGGUGAAAUGCAUAGAUAUCACGAGGAACUCCGAUUGCGCAGGCAGCUUACUAAACUACUACUGACGCUCAGGCACGAAGGCGUGGGGAUCAAACAGGAUUAGAUACCCUGGUAGUCCACGCAGUAAACGAUGAUUACUAGCUGUUUGCGAUACAAUGUAAGCGGCUGAGCGAAAGCGUUAAGUAAUCCACCUGGGGAGUACGUUAGCAAGAAUGAAACUCAAAUGAAUUGACGGGG
rnacentral:rRNA from 1 species